GGCACAUGCGCAGUGUGCUCCGGGAGCAGCAGCCGCUUCCAGGCUUGUGGAGAAAUGAUGGCGUCCCCAGCAGCUCGUCGUUCAGCACGCUGGAUAACGGUAGCCGUGUCUUCAGGAGGUCGCAAUGCAUGUGGGGCUCUUUCAUGUGCCUCACAUCGCAGUGCCAGGACUGUCUCUACCCUCGGGGCGAGCAAAAGAUUGUCUGGGGCUGGCGCCACGUUGGGCUCAGGGACGGCCGCCGCCGUGACAUUGAGAGGGCUGUCAGGUGUCAAAGUACCGAACACCAUCCGCACAGUGAACUUCCACACAAGUGUCCAAGCCAGUAGCAAGCAGGACUUCUAUCAGAUAUUGUCCGUACCACGCACGGCAACCCAGAAAGAGAUCAAGCAGUCCUACUACCAGUUGGCCAAAAAGUUUCACCCUGACACUAACAAAGAUGACCCUAAGGCCAAGGAGAAGUUUGCUCAGCUGGCUGAAGCAUAUGAGGUCCUGAGUGACGAGGGCAAGAGGAAGCAGUACGACACGUACGGUUCGGCCGGCCUCGGCGGCGCCGGGCAGGCGGGCGGCGGCGGCGGGCAGCAGUACUGGAGUGGCCAGGCCAGCAGCGUGGACCCCGAGGAGCUCUUCCGCAAGAUCUUCGGGGAGUUCUCCGGCUCGCGGGGCUUCGGAGACUUCAACGCCAUCUUCGACCAGCCGCAAGAGUACAUCAUGGAGCUGACCUUCACCCAGGCAGCGAAGGGCGUCAACAAAGAGAUCACCAUCAACAUGGAGGCCUCGUGUCAGCGCUGCGAAGGCAAGGGUCACGAACCCGGGACCAAGGUCCAGCACUGCCAGCACUGCAACGGCUCCGGCAUGGAGACGGUGAACACGGGCCCCUUCGUGAUGCGCUCCACCUGCCGGCGCUGUGGCGGCAAGGGCUCGGUGGUCUCCACCCCCUGUGGCUCCUGCCGCGGCACCGGCCAGACCAAGCAGAGGAGGACGCUGAUGGUGCCCGUGCCGGCAGGAGUGGAGGAGGGCCAGACAGUCAGGAUGCCGGUGGGCAAGAAGGAGAUCUUCAUCACCUUCAGGGUCCAGAAGAGUCCGGUGUUCAGAAGAGAGGGCGCUGACGUCCACUCGGAUCUGCUCAUCUCCGUGGCCCAAGCCAUCCUGGGAGGCAGUGCCAGAUCACAAGGCCUCUACGAGACCCUCAACCUACCGAUUCCUGCUGGCAUCCAGACGGACCAGAGGAUCCGUCUCUCUGGGAAAGGAAUCGCCAAGGUCAGCAGCCAUGGCUUCGGAGACCACUACGUUCACGUCAAAAUCAAAGUGCCCAAGACGCUGACAGACAAACAGAAGACGCUGCUGAUGAGCUAUGCUGAGGAUGAAACGGAAGUCGAGGGAACAGUAAACGGAGUCACAGACACGAAGAAAGUGUAAGCCUGGCGCAGUACUGGUCUCCGUCCAGGUGGGGGCAGCAGUGCUAUGCAGACUGAGGUAAAAGGUCCACCGGGAACUGAGUUGUUGAUCCAGCACCUCCCUGGACGGAGGUCCCACUCGGGUGGGUUCCUCAAGCUGAACACAGGACAGAACCCGUCCUGAGGAAGGGGUCGCGCGCUACAGCACGGAGAUAACAGUGGGUGGAUGUGUCGGUAGGGGGGACGCAUCCACCUUGGAAGACCAUGUUCCAUGACGACCUAUUACUGGAUAUCAGUUUAGUUGCCAGGUUCUCUCAAACGCAUUUGUUGGCGUGAGUCCAUCAAUUUACUUGUCCAUCCCAGUCCUCUUUUGUCUUCAUGGCAGACAGGAUUUUUCAUUUGCAAAGUGUGCAUGUUUCAGAAAUCCACCUCAUAGAGAAAUAGAUUAAAAUGCUACACAUGUCUUUGUGUUUUCAUGAAUACUUUUUCAUCAAACAUAAUACGGACACAAGUUGUUUUUCUCGUUCCACUGGUUGAGAAUCUUGAGCAAUAUAACUACAUUGUGUUCCUUAUCCUUCGGGUAAUGGUCAAAGCUUGGUAGACUACUAGCAUCUCUAUUACUGUAGAGACUGUUGUAUUUAAGCCUGCUGUAUGACCGGUGAUUUACAUUUGUAAAUAACUAGACGUUUAUCAAGCAGUUGUCCCUUCACAUAAUUUAAAUAUAAGCCCCUGUACAUGUCUAAUAAAGAAACUGAUUGAAAAUGAAA